rnacentral:tRNA from 1 species
CCUGCUCGUGGCCGGCGGGUGGGCGGUCUGGGCGCAGGUCGCGUUCUCGGUCACCUGGACCUGGGCCGUCGUGGCGGUCGCGGCGCUGGCGCUGGUC